GAUCCUGGCUCAGGACGAACGCUGGCGGCGUGCUUAACACAUGCAAGUCGAACGAGAAUCUACUGAAGGAGGAUUCGUCCAACGGAAGUAGAGGAAAGUGGCGGACGGGUGAGUAACGCGUGAGGAACCUGCCUUGAAGAGGGGGACAACAGUUGGAAACGACUGCUAAUACCGCAUGAAGCAUAGGGGUCGCAUGAUCUUUAUGCCAAAGAUUUAUCGCUUCAAGAUGGCCUCGCGU
rnacentral:rRNA from 1 species